ensembl:lncRNA
GAAUCAGGCUGAAACAUCAGGAACUAGGCAACAAAACCAUUUCGGGUUAGCAGGCUGUGAUGGUCCAAGAGCCCCUCCUCUCUCAAGCCAGAAUUCCCAGCCUCUCUAAUGAACAGCUCUCCCUCCCUCUCCCACAUGCCUGGCGCUCUGCCUAUUUGCAGCUGAAGGGAAGAAUUAGGCAGCUGCUCCUUCUUCCAGACUCCCAGAUCCUCAUCUUAUCUUCUGUGGCAGCAAACACUCCAGCCUCUGUGAACAAAACCUAUCCUUUACAGUCGUGGAUUGUACUGAUUCAUUCGCUGAUUACACUGGAGCGUGAAUGCAUUUCCAUAUCUGUGUUACUCUGGCCAAUUAUAUGCAUUUGAAGACUUUAUUGCAAAGAGAUUUGCUUUGUUUAAAGGAUUAAGACUCAGCUGACACAAAAGUGCCAGACCACAUUUCUGUGAAUUUUUGACACUCAGAGGAGAAAUGUGUGUUGACGAAAGCCUCAAAUACAAUGAUAAAUAGUUAUGGUGGAAAUUAAGGCAAUGGCACCCCACUCCAGUACUCUUGCCUGGAGAAUCCCAUGGACGGAGGAGCCUGGUGGGCUGCCGUCUAUGGGGUUGCACAGAGUCGAACACGACUGAAGCGGCUUAGCAGCAGCAGCAGCAGCAGACUAGUCAGUUUCUCUACCUACUCUUGAUUCCAUAUUAUAAGCUUAUAUUUUCUGUAAGAUUAUCUACUUCACAUUGAUUUUAUAAUUAAUUAUAUAAAAUUAUAUAAAUAAAGUUUGUGC